rnacentral:rRNA from 1 species
CGGCCUAUCAGCUUGUUGGUGAGGUAAUGGCUCACCAAGGCGUCGACGGGUAGCCGGCCUGAGAGGGUGACCGGCCACACUGGGACUGAGACACGGCCCAGACUCCUACGGGAGGCAGCAGUGGGGAAUAUUGCACAAUGGGCGGAAGCCUGAUGCAGCAACGCCGCGUGAGGGAUGACGGCCUUCGGGUUGUAAACCUCUUUUAGCAGGGAAGAAGCGAAAGUGACGGUACCUGCAGAAAAAGCGCCGGCUAACUACGUGCCAGCAGCCGCGGUAAUACGUAGGGCGCAAGCGUUAUCCGGAAUUAUUGGGCGUAAAGAGCUCGUAGGCGGUUUGUCGCGUCUGCUGUGAAAUCCCGAGGCUCAACCUCGGGCCUGCAGUGGGUACGGGCAGACUAGAGUGCGGUAGGGGAGAUUGGAAUUCCUGGUGUAGCGGUGGAAUGCGCAGAUAUCAGGAGGAACACCGAUGGCGAAGGCAGAUCUCUGGGCCGUAACUGACGCUGAGGAGCGAAAGGGUGGGGAGCAAACAGGCUUAGAUACCCUGGUAGUCCACCCCGUAAACGUUGGGAACUAGUUGUGGGGUCCAUUCCACGGAUUCCGUGACGCAGCUAACGCAUUAAGUUCCCCGCCUGGGGAGUACGGCCGCAAGGCUAAAACUCAAAGGAAUUGACGGGGACCCGCACAAGCGGCGGAGCAUGCGGAUUAAUUCGAUGCAACGCGAAGAACCUUACCAAGGCUUGACAUAUACGAGAACGGGCCAGAAAUGGUCAACUCUUUGGACACUCGUAAACAGGUGGUGCAUGGUUGUCGUCAGCUCGUGUCGUGAGAUGUUGGGUUAAGUCCCGCAACGAGCGCAACCCUCGUUCUAUGUUGCCAGCACGUAAUGGUGGGAACUCAUGGGAUACUGCCGGGGUCAACUCGGAGGAAGGUGGGGAUGACGUCAAAUCAUCAUGCCCCUUAUGUCUUGGGCUUCACGCAUGCUACAAUGGCCGGUACAAAGGGCUGCAAUACCGUGAGGUGGAGCGAAUCCCAAAAAGCCGGUCCCAGUUCGGAUUGAGGUCUGCAACUCGACCUCAUGAAGUCGGAGUCGCUAGUAAUCGCAGAUCAGCAACGCUGCGGUGAAUACGUUCCCGGGUCUUGUACACACCGCCCGUCAAGUCAUGAAAGUCGGUAACACCUGAAGCCGGUGGCCUAACCCUUGUGGAGGGAGCCGUCGAAG